CAGCAGCCGCGGGAAUACGUAGGGUGCAAGCGUUAAUCGGAAUUACUGGGCGUAAAGCGUGCGUAGGCGGCUUUUUAAGUCGGAUGUGAAAUCCCUGAGCUUAACUUAGGAAUUGCAUUCGAUACUGGGAAGCUAGAGUAUGGGAGAGGAUGGUAGAAUUCCAGGUGUAGCGGUGAAAUGCGUAGAGAUCUGGAGGAAUACCGAUGGCGAAGGCAGCCAUCUGGCCUAAUACUGACGCUGAGGUACGAAAGCAUGGGGAGCAAACAGGAUUAGAUACCCCCGUAGUCCCUGUCUCUUAUAA
rnacentral:rRNA from 1 species